CGGACGGGUGAGUAAUGUCUGGGAAACUGCCUGAUGGAGGGGGAUAACUACUGGAAACGGUAGCUAAUACCGCAUAACGCCGCAAGACCAAAGAGGGGGACCUUAGGGCCUCUUGCCAUCGGAUGUGCCCAGAUGGGAUUAGCUAGUAGGUGGGGUAACGGCUCACCUAGGCGACGAUCCCUAGCUGGUCUGAGAGGAUGACCAGCCACACUGGAACUGAGACACGGUCCAG
rnacentral:rRNA from 1 species